AUUGAACGCUGGCGGCAGGCCUAACACAUGCAAGUCGAACGAGUGGCGGACGGGUGAGUAAUGUCUGGGAAACUGCCUGAUGGAGGGGGAUAACUACUGGAAACGGUAGCUAAUACCGCAUACCAUCGGAUGUGCACAGAUGGGAUUAGCUAGUAGGUGGGGUAAAGGCUAACCUAGGCGACGAUCCCUAGCUGGUCUGAGAGGAUGACCAGCCCAACUGGAACGGAGACACGGUCCGUACUCCUACGGGAGGCACCAGUGGGGAAUAUUGCACAAUGGGCGCAAGCCUGAUACAGCCAUGCCGCGUGUAUGAAGAAGGCCUUCGGGUUGUAAAGUACUUUCAGCGGGGAGGCGUUACCCGCAGAGGAAGCACCGGCUAACUCCGUGCCAGCAGCCGCGGUAAUUC
rnacentral:rRNA from 1 species